UACGAAGGGGCUAGCGUUGCUCGGAAUCACUGGGCGUAAGGCGCGUAGGCGGCCAUUCAAGUCAGAGGUGAAAGCCCAAGGCUCAACCUUGGAAUUGCCUUUGAUACUGUUGGCUUGAGACCGGAAGAGGUUAGUGGAACUGCGAGUGUAGAGGUGAAAUUCGUAGAUAUUCGGAAGAACACCAGUGGCGAAGGCGGCUCACUGGACUGGUAUGACGCUGAGGUGCGAAAGCGUGGGGAGCAAACAGG
rnacentral:rRNA from 1 species